GUUGCAGAGACGGUGCGAAUGCAGCAGUCGUGUCGAUGACGACCAAGGCCGAGGCGACAAGAAACAGAGUGGAAAUGAUCUUUGGCAUGGUGCGAAGAUUGAUUGGAGUACAGAAUGUUUCCGAAUUGUGAAUGAGUAGCCUUACUGUGUAGGUGAGGGAUGUUCUCGCUUGUACGUACCGGUAGGUAAAGGCAUACCGUAGGAGAUAUUGCUUUCAACGACAAAGCACUAACAAAAGCGCAUCGCAAUUACGGGACGGUACGGUACGGGAGGUGGUGGUGGGCGGAAAAGAAGUUACUUUAUCGAGAACUUUGAA
rnacentral:ribozyme from 1 species